ACUGUAGACUUGAGUUUUUGCGUGGAAAUAACCCUUAGCUGCUGCUGCUCAGAAGUCAAACCAGAUAAUACUUCCUUUCUGCUAAUACUGAUGGUAGCUUUUAGACAGCAAGUCACCUAAAUUACAGGUACAAUCUAACAUGCUUGAAGCUGACCUGAAUGUCUGCAUACCAUCAGGUUGCUCUAGAAGAGUGAGCAGAGGAGGGAAAAGGUGGUGCCGAGGGUAAUUCCUGGAAUCUGAAUGUCAUAGGCUCCCUCUACCAGAGGAACAACUCUGAUCUUAAUCUAAAUAAAUUUGAAUUGGUCCCUCAUUGUCGGGAUUCCUGUAGCAUCCUUUAGUGUUGGUGUUUGGCCAUGCUUUCUAAAAGCUGAUGACUAGCUCCCUAGAUGCAGGAAAUCCCUUUGUGGCAUUCUGGCAUUAUUCGCACAGUGGAAACUCAUGCUUGGUGAAGACAGAUAAAACUGGUGAGUUUCAAGGUUCAGAACACACGUUACUAGCUGAGUACCGAAAUUUGUUUUGAGAUAGGGGAAAGUGAGUGUGGGAUUCAGAUUUCAGAAGGAAAAACCAGAUGCUGCAACUUGGAGUCCUUGUUGAUACUUUAAUCCAACCCCUUAGACCAUCAAAUCGGGCAGUAUAUGACUAAAAGGGCACGGAUCAGAUUGUUGAAACUGGGGGUCUGGCCACGUGAAUGAACCCUUUUCUGCCCAGAGUGCCGUGAUGCAACGCAGCAUCGAAGUUGAACCGAGGGAACGGGACGAAGGUGAGGCUCAGAAGACACUGUUGAAAACCCUCAGACAAUGCAACGCGACCAAGUUACGGAUUAGGUUUAAAAAUGCCACCCCUGCUCUGUGCAGAACGGCCAUCCCCUAACUCCUCAGGCUGCCUUCUCUUCCUCCCUCAGACUUGACUUUUGAGAGUCACCUGAGCGAAGCCUUCCCUAAGCACCUGUGCAAACAGCUGCUCUCGCCUCCUGUCCUCACGACUGUUCCCUGCAUUUCCUUGGAAGUUACCCCAGUCUGAAGUUGUCUGCUUGGUACCUCCUCCUCAGAGCCAGCCUCUCCCCUAGCGUCCUGUCUGGUCCAGAAGAAGCAUCUGAUUGUGCAAACAGUCAGGCCUUUGCCCUCUAAGAACCUGGCACCUAGGCACCUGGGCACAUUGGGUUUUCCUCUCCAGAUGACUGGCACUCGGGGCCGGCCCUCUGACAGUUUCCACGUCUGUAAACGAGAAUGUUCAGAGGAGAGGGGUAGCUGUUGCCCAAAAUGCAGGAGACUCUAGGAGGGAGAGGUGGGAAAGUGGUGUGGGGACAACUCUGGGUCGCCAGGCAGAAGAGCUGCAAUGGCCCUUUGCCGACAGGAAGCUAUCCAACCUCACCUGUUUCCGCCUCUCGGAGAUGGGGACUGGGAGCCCCGCCUCCCCUUACAGGGACCUUGUGGGGAUCCAGCGAGAUAACGUGUUAGAAAGCGCUUUGUGGGGAGUUUCCGUCAUGGCGCAGCGGGAACGAAUCCGACUAGGAACCAUGAGGUCGCGGGUUCGAUCCCAGGCCUCGCUCAGUGGGUUAAGGAUCCAGCAUGGCUGUGGCUGUGGUGUAGGUUGGCAACUACAGCUCCAGUUCCACCCCUAGCCUGGGAACUUUCAUAUGCCGUGGGUGUGGCCCUAAAAAGACAAAAAGACAAGAAAAAGAAAACGCUUUGUAAUGUGUGGAGUGCUUUGCAAAAAUACAAGACAUUCUACAAAGUUGUGGAUUUUACCAGAGAGCCUGGUUACAACGCCAGCCUUGGGGCCCGCGCUGCCAGUGCAGUAAAAGGAGGCCCCCUGGGGAGAUAGAGGAACCCCUUUUUGUAGGUGAAGACAGCCCUUUGUUGUGUCAAGUGUCAUGCUGUCAUGGGAUUCCUAAUGGGCUGGGGGGAUGAGCAUGUCACUAAAAGCUGACGGUUUCAAAAGACCUGUUUGAAGUGGUCACAGAAUAUAAGGCUGAUACCUCAACCCGCCCUUUUUAAAGGACAUGGAGGACCAACCUGUAAAUAAUAACAGGUUUGAGGGCAUUGACGUCAAAGAGGCACUUUCAUAGCUAAGGGUUCCCCACGAAAAACGAUUAGCAGGCAGCCAAUCCCCAGCACCGUCUGCCUGAGCCAGCCUUGAAGCUUGAGCAUUGCAGUGGGUCAGCUCUGUCCCCUGCAAGGAAGGCCUGGGGCUUGGGGAGCAGAGCCCGGCUUAAGUCUGGGCCCCACCGCCUAGAGCAAGUUACCUAAUUUGGCGCCUCCAGCUCUCUGGUUAGUAAGCCAGGGCAGUGACAGUCACCCACCUCCCAGGGUUGUUGAGAGGAUUAAAUGAGUCCACAUAAAGGACUUAGAACAAUGCCUGUCAGGGAUGUGCCCAGUGAGCUGGUUGUUACUCUCCCUGGGUUUGUGUUCACUGUAACAACCUCGAGUUCCUCACUGGGUGGUUUAAAUGCUCGUUAAGUAGAUUGGACGUUUUAAAUAUUCGCUCCCCGUCAUUAGACUCUUGUGCACCUUGUGGUUAAGAUCUGAAUAGAAAUCAUGUACCUUUUACAAUUAGAAAUCUAUUGUAUAAAUCCUCUCACUUAGCUCUGAUUGUGACCGUGCGAAGACAGGGUCUUCUCCCUGUCGCCUCGGUUUCUCCCACUUACAAAUGGGCCAUUAUACGCCAGGCAUGGAUUGGGGGGAUGGAGCCACAAGAGGACAGGAGCCCCCCCCCCCCCAUGGACCACAUGCCCAUCCUCACCGAGGCCGCUGAGUGUAGUGAGGGUUUUGAACUUCACGUAACACAUUUUUGGGUCAUCAGUGCUUUUAUCACCAAGGCUGUUGAUGCUUCCGUGGCAGCAGGACACAAAGCCUGGCACUCGCUGCCCCUCCUCCCCUUCCCCCAAAUCAGUCUUACCGAUGACGUCAGACAGACCCUGAAGGAGGGCCUGUGAUUUUUCUUUUUUGGAGAACCUUUGGCUUUUAGUGAAGCAACUCAGGUCACACACCGCUGUCACUGUCCGAAGCACUGACUGUGUUAGGGGAACAUCAGAUCAGUAAGUUUGCUCGUUGUUCAUAAAAAUGAAGCUCCUAUAAGGCAGCUGAACUGAAUGUUCUAAAGCCUGGCUUCCAGCACGACACAUACUCAUCCCCCAAAAAAUGGUGAGGUUUCAUUUCCUUUUCUCAUUUUCCCAAAGGUGGUUAUUUUGGGCCUUUUCCAGAUGACGCCGAGGUGGUUUGUUGGGGGAGGAUCUAAAAUCCUGGUGGUUGUCAUGUUCCCACAUCAGCUUCUUUUCAUAACUCAGGCCUCCAAAUAGAGUUACGGUAGAGCUCCUGGAUGUGGGACUGGGUAGGUAGGUAAUUGUUAAUGCAGCUGAAAAGGCCAUCUAUCACCCUGAAUAAACAGGAAUCAGGUUCUUAAACCAGAUUGAAAGAAGGAAAUUACAUCACACUUUUAAAUAAGGAAGCGCCGGUCGGAACUGGAUGAGUUGUGUGACAAAAAUGUGCCCCUCCUUCUCCUGUGGAUUGCUGCAGAGAUUUAUUAAUGACAUCUGGUGGCCAGGUAAGCCUAUCUAGGUUACCAUCUUAAGGUAGCCUGGUUUUUUAAAGAACAGUUUCAGAGAGGCUAACAUCAAGCAAGGGGCACGUGGUUCCACCUUCAUAGGGAAUGUACAGUGUGCUUUUUGGUAUAACUACUUUUUUUUGCUUUUUCUUUUUUUAAAGAAAAGGACCUUUAAAUUCAGUAGCAAAACCACAGGUGCAUUAUCAUCCAGAGGAGAAGGUGAAAUUCACUGUUUCUAGAAAGCAUGCUCCUCCAUUGCUUUAAGGAAACAUUCAGUAACAGAAGCCAAUCUGGAAAGUUACAGUGUUAACCGUUUAAGCGUCUCAUUUUUACCCCAUCUCAAAACUGUCCAUCCACUUCGGAGUCUGGAAAUGAAUUUCCUGAGAAUUCCUUGCCUGCUCCAUGUCUUAGACUUGCCCCCUGACCAUCGGGUGAUGUCAGCUCAUGUUACCCUUUCCUUCUUCCCUGAUUUGUGUUCUACAUGAAUCUUCUGUUAAGUACAUGUGAGAAAUGAAUGAGUUCCCUGGUGGCCUAGUGGCUAAGGCUUCAGUGCUGUCGCCCCUGUGGUGCAGGUUUGAUCCCUGGCUCGGGAACGUCCACAUUCUGCCUGUGCAGCCAAACAAAAAAGAAAGAAAGGAAUGAGGCCAGAAUCUUGGGGGCGGUGGGGUAGGGGGGACUGGGGGAGAAGUCCCGUCCUAGAGAAUUGGGAGGAUGGAAGGGGAGAGGGCACAGCAUGGACUAACCCAAGACUGAAGAGACGAGGAAGGGAGUGGGUCUCGGAGAAGGUGGCGGGAGAGGCGGCCCCUAGGGGAGGUAGGUGGGGGCCUUGCCAGGAGGCCUUCGGCGCUGGGCGGGGCAGCUGCGAUGGGGAAGCCCUUGCAGACCCCUGGGCAGUGGACAUGGGCCCCUUGAGCUGUGGGUCAGCACCAGCUGUCGGGUGGGCAGGGGACUGGGGAUGUUCGGGCCCCGAGGCAGGUGGGACCCAGUGACCGGAAGGAAGAUGGGCUUUCGAGACAGUGUAGAGCGGGGCCCUGGGACUCGGGGGUGAAGUCGGGUGAGAAAGGGUGCCUUCCUGCUCAGCCCAGGAACUGGUUUGGGGACGGGGAAGGGGUGUGGAGCAAGCGACAGGCUGCGUUUGGUCUGUGGAGCUGCAGAUGCCAGAGGUACAUCCAAGUGGAAAGAUAAUCACCAGACAAUAGGAAGUGCAAAGUGGAAGCCUGAGCCAGGGCUGGAGUCCGGAGCCUUGGAUGCAGAGCUGAAGCCCUAGAUGGGAUCCGGUGGGGCAGGGGGCAUGAGGAGAGAAAAUAAAGGGACAGCCUCAAAAAACCAACGGUUUUAUAGGGUCGUUAGGUUUUUCCCUUGAAUUAAAAAAAAAAAAAAAAUCGAGUGAUGUGACCAGGAAAACAUUCGCACCAGGACUGGUAUGUAACUGCAUUUUUGACACCCUAAAAGGCUAUCGCUUCACUCCCGUAUUUUGGAAAGAUCACUCUGCCCAAGGUUAAUCGAAUCUAUACCAAGGUCUGUGCCAGGCUGCCUGGAUUAACCUUCGCUUUCCUGUUUUUGCAUUUCCCCGCAGAAUGCCGCCGGGGACUUGUUUUUCCCACACAGGUGUCUCUCUGCGGUUGUUCUCCUACGGAAGUAUAAAGCAGAGCUAGUGUGACCGUCACGUAAAGUUAAAUUUCACUUGCGCACCAUGUUUCUUUUGAACUUGAGGUUGACCAAAUUGACUUCUCCGAGGAGGAGAGAGAGAGAGAGAGAGAGAUUGAGAGGUGGGGGCUGGGGGGGGUGGGAGUAAAAGAAUCCCAGGAGCUUUCCCACCCUCAGUUUACAACCUGAGGGACACGCUUCAAAAGCCUGCCUCCCACCUCCCCGCAGGUUUGGCCCUUGUUUAGAGUCCGCAUUGGGGAGUUAUUUUCCAGAAGACGGGAGCACACAGCGCUGCUGCCCUCGGAGCUCCCAGGCAAGUCACUAGGAAGUUCGGACAGUUUCAUAACACAGCCCAUUCACAAUUCCCCAUUGAAAUGGAGAGGCAGGUCACCUCCUAUGAAUGCACAAAGACGCUAUUGUGGUCACAAGGGAGCUGCCUCAGUGAACACAAUUCUUUUUAUGCUAAAACAAUUUUUUUCUUAAGAAAGCUAACAAGUAGGUGCUGGAAACAAUGCAUAAAAACAUAACUUUUUCUAGAACGUAUAAAUACUGCUCAGGGACCAUUGAAAUGUAUGUUUAGACCUCGGUGGCAAUUUCAGCGCAGGCGAUCGUUACACAAUCAUUCUGUUGAAAGCUCAGAUUUAGACGGCGCUGGGCGGCUGACACACAGUAAUUACUGGUAGUGCCUGUUGGCCUGCAGACAGGUGGGGGUUGGGCCCCGAGACUCUGGGCAGCAUUCUCCUGUAAUCUGGACAGGGGAUCUUCAAACGUGUGCUUUCAAACCACUUAAAUACCAUAUUCUUCUUCCUAUCUGGGCUUUCAUUUCCACAUCACUACCGAUACCCUAGUCCUGCCAGUGCUUGUAGGCGGCUUGGGAAAAGCACCCUAAACCAGGGGCCAAGGACAGAGGGGAGUGUCUCGAAAUUUUUUUUUUUUUCAGAAGUUGUGUUUUUAAAUGUUUCUAACACCUUACACCUGAUUCAAGGGAGAUAAAAACAUUUCUUUCUAAUCUAAAAACCAGCCUUCAGAAACAGCAAAAAGAUCCCCCAGGAACUUACUUUUAGAUUUCUGACAUGAUGGGGCUUCCCCCCCCCAUCUUCUUCAUCAUGUACCUGUAGCGACUAAUAAAAGAAAAAUGAAUGCUUGACUAUUUGAAAUAUGUUCAACCUGUUUAAAUCUGCCUGCUAUAUUAAAACAGCCGACUUUGGGAGAAUGGGAGUGAGUGUCUUCAUAUGUGACUACGUCUAAAAAGCCAGAAGCGGUAAUCGGGCCUCAUCCUCCUUUGUCACCGAAACAUGACUAUCUUUCCAUUC
rnacentral:lncRNA from 1 species